AGAAGUUUUGGAUAGCAGAGUUGCUCAUUUCAACAAUGCUGUAGAAAAUUUGUGCAUAACUCUUCAAAUAAAAUAUUACUGCUUACACUGUGAGGAGAAGCAAUCAAUAACUGUAACUUAUGGAUCAAUGCAGGUAUAGGUACCCAAAUUUUCCCACCAUUCUGACACUUACCUUUCCCUCCUCAAGGUGGCUCUUUAAUAGAUCCUGAAUUCCUUCCAUCAGCAGGAACAGAAGAAACUGGAAACCUUUUACAUCCUUCUUAACACCCUGGAUCACUUUUAUGUUUCUGAAAGGCGAACAAUAAUAUUUAGUAAAUCAUUUUGUGAUUGAUUGCAUGUACAUUGAUACCUGUAAGUUCAAAUUUUCCUUCUGCUAUGUCUAGGAACAUGUUUUUCAAUUUUGUAAUAUGCACUUUUAACCUAUGUGUAUUACUCUAACCUUCGUAGCUCUUUUCAGUAUUAGGAUCAUGGCAGGAUCUCUAUCCUAGUUAUUUUAUAGUGUGGCAACACUGAAAUGGGAAGGCUGUUAUAAUUAAAAGGGCUUAAGACUUGGAGUUAAAACCAAAUUAUAUUAUAAAAUAACUAUUACAAGUUAAGCCUACAGAUUAGAGUUUGUUGGGGUUUGUUGUUUUGUUUUGUUUUUUGUUUUGGUUUGGGUUUUUUUUAGUUUAGAUCAAAAGCAGAAAUACAUGUGGUAUAUGCAUGAAAGUGCAGUAAAAGGGAAUCUGAAGGUCACUCCCAUGGCUGGGUUGGAGUUCGUUUUGGUGUUCAUGGCCUAGUUUUUAUAUUACCCUUCUCCAAAACAUCCUGUUUAAAGCCAGGUAAAUUGUGAAGGUGCCAGAACAGAGCAGGGUGCAGCUGUGUUGUAGAUGAAGGCUUGCGCUCUAUAAAAUACAACCACUGAAGUGUUGUGGGAUUGAUGAUGCCUUAGAUACCAGCUGGUCCUAACAGGGCAACCAACCCCUUCUAGUCUGAGGAAAUCCACCUCCACAGAGCACAAAUAUAGAAACAAGUAGACAGUUGGAUGCCUAAAGUGAAAUUAGAAACAUGCAGAUUUAACUCCCUCCAUAACCAGAAACAGAAAAAAAAAUGCAGUUGGUUCCAGUAAUGCUGUACAUUACCAUGGGAGCAAGAAAUUGUCUUUCUACUGUAAAUGUUUCUUGUCUGGGUUUGAUGUUUUUCUGCCACAGGAUGGACUUCACAGUGGAGAGAAAGGAAAUAUGGGGCUUAAUGUCUGCUUUGUGCUGUCUCAAGCUGGCAAUUGAGAAUUAAACUGAGUGUAAACAUGAAUUUAAAAUAUGAAAAGGUUAACAAAGCUCCAUUUGCUUCUGCAGCUUGAGCAGUAUCUGGAUCUGGAAUUACCCUACAUUAGUAUUUUAUUCACAUUCCUUACAACUGUAAUUUCAGAAGGGAGAAACGAAAGAGGUAGGAAGACAGAGGAAUGCAGCGUUGCAGGGGAGCACAGAUUUUCACUCCCCUUUGCUCACAGAUACUCUGUAAGUCCCGUUACACAGAUGGCCUCACGCGGUGAGAGGGCAGAACCAAGGAACUGCUGUGUCGAGGCACUCCGGAGAAUCUCCCAGAGCGGUCUGUCUCAGAAAGCAGGCAACAUCAGGCAUUUCAGGGAAAAGUGAAAGAAGUCAGUAAUAAAAGUAGGGAAUCAUCUACAUGUGAUGAGAUCUUAUACUAAUUUGCAAAAAAAUGCUUUUUCCUUACCUCAGACAUCAGGCUUUGUCCGUACAAGAGACUGUCUCUAUACAUAAAUGGUUUAUGUUCUUCAAUCAUUACAUCUUGUUCUUUACGAGGAAAUGUAUAGAAUCUCACUCUAAUGUGAUGAAAGAUUCCAUUUUUUCUCUAAAAAUCACUCAAACCUCAGACUGAAUACAGUCUCAGCACAUCAAAAUUCUGAGUCUAGCCAUGUUUCUUUAAACACACAGAACACACAGCUCCUUCUGCAUCUACCAUUGGCUUUUUUUUAAUGCAGGAAACCUCAACUCUCUUCUAAAAUUUACCACAAACUUUCACAGCAUCUACAAGCAAAAUACUUAAUCUUUGCAUGCCUUCUUUUUAUUAUCUAUGAAAUAAGAAUGGCAGUAUUUGCUUCCCAGGAAGGUCAUAUUCACCUCAGAUCCUGCUAUGGCAGGUACUGAUGAAUUCCGAGCAGUAAUUAUUUGCUAAAAAUCUCAAGACAAGAAUUUAGGAAAUCAACAAAUACACCUGUCAAUCCUCUUGCACAGGACCAUGUCAGGAAGCUCCAUUGGGAGGCAUCAUUACCAGGCUUUCAGUCUUGCCCAGAUAUCAGCAUUAAGUUUGGCCUGUCUCACCUGUGGUAUUGCUGACAGAAGUGGCUUUACCCACUUUUGCUUUCCUCAGGCAGCCAGAAAGGAUGUUAUGACAAAAUAAGAGCUUCCACCGAGGUAGCAGGGUAGUUAUCUUUGAAAGCAUUCUGGGCCAUGGUUUCAGAACAAUCCCACAACACUAUUUAGAAGUUGACUGGCUUCUUGUUAAGGACAUAACAAAUCAGUUUGUUCAUUCUUGGAAUGAUAAUGCCAUUUCACUGAAGUACAACUGAGUUCCUUUUACAUUUUCUGUGUGCAGCAAAAACCCCAAUACAAUACUGUUGAGCCUUCUGAAAUGAAUGUCUCUUGAAGCAAUAAACUUGUUAAAAGAAAAAAUGGUUUCUGGGCACCAGGGCUAUGUGUUUAAGGAUUUGAACUUUCUUAAUGCCUAAAACCUGGAAAGAAGUCCAGAAAGGACACCCAAUUAGAAAGAUAUUGACUCAUCCUGACAAAGAGUGGGGGGAGGGAGAAAGGGAGGAAGGAGGGAAAAGAUCAAGGCUUACAACAAAAGAUCUAUUCAUUUGUAACAGCUUGGCUGUGGAACCAUUCCAGCAUGCUUAAAAAUACUUUAUCCAUUAGUUGGGAACUAUUUUCUAAAUGGCAACUUGCUGCCCACAUCUGACCACAACCAGCUCCCUUUUCACAUCGAACAUAGCAAGGUUCAUGUCAAAAACAGCUUGCCACCUCUUCUGGACAUUGUAGCAGGGUGAGGCAGAGUAAAGCACAGGUGCCUUGUAUGAAACAAAAAUCCCUGACCUCCAGCAUAUAGAGAGGGGAAGUACAAUGCUGUUCAGUUCCUCCCAGGCUAUUUUAAGAAAAGAGGAUGAACUAAUACAAUAUUGAACUAGAGUUCUCCUCUCACAAAAAACAGGAACAUCAUUUCAGGUUAAUCAAGUUAUUAAAAGUAAGGUAAUUUAAUGCCUCAGUUUAUGAGCUCAAGAGUAGUUCUUUGAAAUUUUACAUGAGGCUGCUUUAUGUUAAACUCUGAUCACACACCUGAAUAAAACUAUCAAACGUGUCACCAGUAUUCUUACAUAAUUAGCCAACAUAUAAACAUUUUAAUUACAAAUACUGUAUACUUGUUGAAAAGCAGGAUUUUUUUUUAUAAAAUUAUUCUCUCCUAGGAACACUUCCUUCUCAGUUAUAAAGUGGUAUCGCUGGAAAUAUUAAUAUUUUAUGCUAGGGACUGUGGAUACAACUUCAUAUAAAAGCUUUUCUUUAUCUGAAAUGUGACUGUUGCUGUAAAGUUGGCAUUUCUACCUUUUCCUGGUAUUUUGUUACAUAGGCUUUCAGAGCUUAGUUUGAGGAAAAUGAAUGUCUGGUUUAAUGUAUGUUUAUUUCUCUUGACACAUACAUUGCAUCCUUAUGUUAGUUUGCAUUGAGACUCUGGAGGAGAUGUUGGGAGAAUAUUGCACAGUUGAUCUUCUCAUCAAAGUAUCGGCUUUUCUAAACGUGUCAGUCAGCUACAGCUAAAAAUACUCUGUAUUACAAUAUAUGCUAUCUGAUUCACCUCCUCAUAGGGAUCAUCUUUGUAACCUUUUCUCAUGUGGAUAUUCUUAAUAACACCAGCCCUAUGUAAAUGCAAAAAGACUACAUCUGUAUCUACAGCAUCUGUUAAAAGUAAAAA